GCGCAGCAAUUAGUGAAGACUUGGGGCAGGUUGAAUAUAUUUUGACAAAUAAUGGGAACAUUGACUGAUAAUAAGAUGAUCUUCAGAAGGUGUUGUGUGAACCAGCCCACUCACUCUUCAGAGACCUUUGGAGAGGAUUAAUUUCAGGGGAUGAUGCAAACCAUUGAUCUAGGAGCAUCAUACUGUAAUUUGGAUGCCGCGGGAUAAUAAGGUGUAGUGGAGUACAUGAAUGUGAAUUAACUACUUCAGACAACACCUUGGCAAGUCACCUUCUAUGGUUGCAGGUUCUGAUAGUUCAGUUUAUCUACCUUGUGCCGAUUGAUUGGAUAUGUUGGAUGUAAUACAUGCUCACAUCUCACGUCAUCUAAUUGUCCCAUGAAAUUUUGAUGAAUUUCGUAAUUGCUGUUAUGUGCUUGUAAUCAUUUCAUUUUGGCAUGAGUACAAAUGGAUGCGUUGUCCCUUUUGCAAUUAUGCCAUGGCCACUGGUGAAGCAGGUAUGCACUCUACAAAUGAUUAUGCGCUGAUGGAAACUGAAUCUGUUGUAUAAGAGGCAUGCACUCUCCUAAACUUUGUAAAUGCAUUUUUGUUACCGUUAAAUAAUAUGGAAUUGUUGGUCCUGCAUAUGACAUCAAUUUACCACAUAAUUUUUGUGUUCUUCAUUACUACAAUACUUUACCUCCAUAUAAUUUGUAAAAAUUUGGAGACAUCCAGAUAUCUCUUAAGUCAAAAAAUUUACUUCAGUAUCUAUAUAUGAUACCUCUUCAUGGGAAAAAUUACUUUACUAUUUAUGUGCUUGUUUACUAACAGGCAUUGGUGAGUUUCUAUUUGAUACCUCUUCAGUAUCUCAAUAUUUCAAGUAAUAUUGAGAGCUGCUCAUCACAUCGUAAUUUCGAAUCAUUUCUUUUGGGCUUCCUGUUUCUUUUCUUUCUGGGAACAGUUUUGGACCGUAUUUUGCACCCAUAAAUCCCACCUCCGAUUCACUUACAUCCUUUCUUGUUCAAUAAUUUGAAACAACAAUUUGGUAUUUUUCCUUCAGAAACUGAAUUUCAAAAUAUUUUGUUUCCCAUUUUGCCUUCUCAAAUUGCUCCCCUAUGAUUGGUUGCGGCCAAAGCUAGUGGGUAUCUUUAACAACUCUGUUUUCUCCAACCUCAUAUGCAUUCUGCAGCUUUGACAUUACGGUGUAGAAUAGGACAAAGGACAAGUGUGAUUCUAUCCUCAGCCAUGGUGCCAAGGCAGCAAGGACAUUGUGCGCCCUCCAGUUUGGUCAAAUUAGCAUUUUGUCUUAUGGAAUUCUCAAUGAUUUCGAUGCAGUGCAGUUCUUUCUUUCUGAUUGUUCAAUCUUGCUGUUCAAAACUAAUGUACCGUUAUAGUAAGAUGACAAAGAACCUUAAUGAUAUUCCUAAGUUUUAUGUCCCCAUGGUGAUUGCAUUGAUUAAAUGAAAGUAAGGUUGAUUGUAUGAGAAUAAAAUUCAUAGUGUCCUUCUAUUCCAUUCUAAAUACAAGCCCAAUCUCAGCUCUCUAUCACCUCGGUGUUAUGAUCUUGGGCUUAGCGUUCUUCAAAGAUUUUGUUCCUCAGAGGCCACAAGUGGAGAGGGGAAGAAACUUCCAGUUGACUGAGGAAGAUUUGUUUCGUGCUUCCCGAGCUGUGCUUCAUGCGACACGCACGUGUAUAAAAAAUAUUUAUAAUAUAAAAAUUAUAAUCGGUUUUGAUAAGACCCAUGUUGUAUUGCGUGCUACAACUCUUGACAAAGCAACAUACAGUUGUCUAGGUGUGUUAUUGACAGUCAUUGCAAAAAUUAAUCUAAUUGGAAAUUGUUUCCUCAAAAAUCUUAAUGAAAGUAUAAUAUCCUCUGACAUUUCCUCGUCUGGUGUGAUUAUGGGAUGAUAAAAGCCCAGAACAGGCGACCACUUCUGAGCAAGUAAGUUUUCUGCUGCAUGCUAUUUUCAAUGGGUUGGUGUUUUAUUAUAAUGUUACAUACUGACUGUCCAAAUUUUGGAGGUUGCUGACAUGUACCGUGCUAA